CCUACGGGUGGCAGCAGUGAGGAAUAUUGGUCAAUGGACGCAAGUCUGAACCAGCCAUGCCGCGUGCAGGAAGACGGCUCUAUGAGUUGUAAACUGCUUUUGUACGAGGGUAAAUCCCGAGACGCGUACCGGGUUGAAAGUAUCGGACGAAUAAGCAUCGGCUAACUCCGUGCCAGCAGCCGCGGUAAUACGGAGGAUUCAAGCGUUAUCCGGAUUUAUUGGGUUUAAAGGGUGCGUAGGCGGUUCGAUAAGUCAGAGGUGAAAGCCCGGGGCUCAACUCCGGCACUGCCUUUGAUACUGUCGGGCUAGAGUUGAGGUGAGGUAGGCGGAAUGUAUGGUGUAGCGGUGAAAUGCGUAGAUAUUAGGAGGAACACCAGUGGCGAAGGCGGCUCACUGGACUGUAACUGACGUUGAGGCUCGAAAGCGUGGGGAGCAAACAGGAUUAGAUACCCUGGUAGUC
rnacentral:rRNA from 1 species